GUUGUACAGAACUCGGAGCUACCGGCCUUGGAGAAAUUCGGUGCGGUGAGCCAAGACCACCUGCAUCUCUGUCAACCUGUCCAGUGGCAAAGUCACUGCAAACCUCAUCUGGAAGGUGAUCUUUCAACCUGGAUCAUCACCUGGAAAAUAAAAAGAACCAAGCUUAUUAGUAGAGAAUAGAGUUGCAGCCAACGGUUUGAAGUGAGUGCAUCGGAAUGAUAUCCUUCUUAGCAUCGGCAGACACGUGUAGGUCGAGGGCUGAAAGAU